rnacentral:lncRNA from 1 species
UAUUAAAAACAAGGUAAGGAUACAUAAGCCGGACACACCGGAAUCAAAGCUCGCAAAUUCCGACUAAACUAAGCUCGGAAUUUUGAGAGACAAAGCUCGCAAACUCCAACUAAACUAAGGUUGAAAUUUCGAGAGACAAAAGCCCGCAGAUUCCGACUAACUAAGCUCGAAAUCUCGAGAGACAAAGUCCGACUACCCGGGAAACAACUUCAUAUACAAACAAAGACUCUUAAAUGAGAUAUGCAAACACAACUAUUCAAAACUCAAAAACUAGACCAAACCCGAGAGCGGAAAACGAUUAGACAUGUUGGAACACCGAAAAUAACCAACCGAGGCUUCAACUCUACUUGUCCUCGCUUGAUGUAGGUAGACUUCAGAAAUUUGAAACUUGUGCUUCCUUGGGAUGGCAAGACGAAUCUUUCAAAAGAUAAUUGACAAGACCGACGAAACUGCCAGGGGCCGGAGAAAUCGAAACAAAUGUCGAAACCAGUUAGGAGGCAGCACAAACAAAACAGGUCUCGACCAAACCUGAAAUUAACUUCGUGUGGAGGAGACUAAACAGCCGCUUAAUCGACUCACCAAAACCUUCAGAGGGAAAGAAUGGUGACGGAUGCGAUUCGAUUAAGUCCUAGGAGAAGGCCAGCAAAGAGGAAUGAACAGAAAUGACAUAAACUCAUAACUUCCGCUGAGAACCAGAGACUGAGAGCCACAAAAACCGGACCAUAUGGCUAAACCAUACACACAGCCCGUCGAGAAAGGGCCAAACAACCAGCUAAUUCUCAGAUAACGACCAAGCUAACG